GACAGAGGGUGCAACGUUGUUCGGAAUUACUGGGCGUAAAGCGCGUGUAGGCGGCUUGGCAAGUCGGGUGUGAAAGCCCCGGGCUCAACCUGGGAAUUGCAUUCGAGACUGAAUAGCUAGGGUACGGUAGAGGGAAGUGGAAUUUCCGGUGUAGCGGUGAAAUGCGUAGAUAUCGGAAGGAACAUCAGUGGCGAAAGCGGCUACCUGGCCCAAUACUGACACUCAGGUGCGACAGCGUGGGGAGCAAACAGG
rnacentral:rRNA from 1 species